CUACCCCCGCCAAGUUGAGCCCAGCUUUAUGAGGAGGGGAGAAAAAAAAGAAAAGAGAUAGAGAGAAAAAGUGGAGGGGAGGAAAGCAAGAAGACGCCUCGGAAGAGGGAGGGCUGUUUCUGUCUUUGGUUAUCUAGCUGUAUGAGUGUUAUCAAGCCAUCAUAAAGCUAGAUAACCGAAAGUAGAAAUGACUUCCAAAGACUUCUGGGAGCUGGGAGGCGAAGAGGAGCAGCACGGAAGAAGAAGAAGGAGGAGGAAAAGUCCGGGGAGCUGGAGACAAGGGGAAAGAAAGCGAAGCCAAAAGAUCAAGAUUCUCAGGGAAUGAAGUUGUCUGCGGCUGCUGGCGUUUGAGAAAUGCUCCCCGCGUUGCUUCAAUACAGACGUGACUGAGAGUUCAUGACUUGGGAUGCGGUGACACAAAGAGACAAGACAUCUCUCUCUCUCAGCUUGGAGAGAGGCUGUGCGACAUUCUGCUGCCGAGAUAAGGAACUUCCAAUUUGGCACAAGCUGCAAACGGCGAUGAAGAUGGAGGGCCACUGCGUGCGUCUCUGGCUUUUAAUUCCCCCUGCCCUACUUCCUCCUCCUUAGUCCUGCUCUCCCCUCCCUCAAAGCCCAUCCGUGCUGUGUGCGGUGCCCUCCAAGAACAAGUAGGAGGAGGCUGUGUGUGUGUGUCUGUGUUUGUGUAUGAAAGAAGGGCAGCCCCUCUCCCUGAGAAGAGACCCUCUCAACAACUCCAGGCCACCCUGCCGCAGCUUAUAGGUUCUCGGUGCCAGGAAGCCAUUUUGAUGGAGUCAAAUGCCGUUUUGUAAGAUGGCCGCAUUGACGUGAGAUUAUUAUGAUGGGGAAUUUCAGGAACUUGGAAAACGUUGAUUUUUUGGUCACGUUUACUACAGAUGAAGGCAUGCCUGCUUUUCCUGUUUCACACGGACCUGAUUUUCAAGCCAUCUUUCUUCAGGAUACCCUACACAGCAAGAACUUUCUUGGGACUCUAGGCUUUGAAUUUUUGGAUUGUCUAAUGAGACAGGGGAACUGGGCCAGAAAAGCCCGUCUCUGGACAUGGAAAUUGGACAGUGUUGGGUCUCCAUCUUUCUAGGGUCUGCCAUGCUUUGCUGAUUUGGAUCACACAUGGAAACCAAGAGCAGCUCUGUAUAGCUAAGAUACUGAAGGAGGAGGAGGAAAACAACCAUGGCAAAGAAGCAAAUGUCUGAACUGUGAACUUUCUUAUCUGUAGUCAUUGAUGUCAUUAAGAGGGAUGUGAUAUCAUUGAUAUGGCUUGUGACUCAAUGGAGAUAGACAGCUGGGGGACCUGAGCUGAUUGUUGGGGGCUGAUUUCACCUAGGAUCACUUAACCUUUUUGGCACAGGCAUCAGAAAAUGACCAGGCCAGUAGCUUUUCAAAAUUAUACCUAUUAGAGACAUGUAUUUUCUACUUUGACUUGUCUACACCAUAUUGAGUAAGUUCUUGGGUGAAAACUCAGGUGACACAUGACACUAUUCACACCUGUUAAACAUCAGUGUAGCUUCUGAAGUGCGUUCUUUCACCAAGGAGUUCCCCCAUGGCUCCAGAUUUCAAGGGAAGAUCAUUGAUUGGGGAAGCUUGCCUGCUGUUCCUGAUCUUAACUCAGAAACCUAGGAUUCCCUAGGACCUGGGACUGGGUCUCACACCUGCCUGCAAGAGUACUGCAGUACUCAGCAUGAAUUGCAGCUUCUAGGUCAAGCAGAAGGGAAGCCCCACGUAGAGAGCAUUGCAUCCAGUUUUGAUGUUUUGGUUGGGCUCCACAACAUGACAACACAUGGCAGCAACAUUGCAGGUCUGCUCUGAAGUAGAGUCUGGAUCUGGUCUGUGCCUAAAUGGGUGACUUCCUGGGAACAAUAUAGAUUCUGUGAUGGAAGAAAAGCAGGCUAUAAAUGUAAGAAAUCUAAUAGAAUUUUAUCACAAAUUAUGCGUGUACAAAUUCAUUUUGUCUCACAUGUGUACAUUUCUAAUCCUAUUUUAGCCUAAAAUAUCUGUUUCUAAUGCAUGGUUGAGGGGGAAGCAAGCCAAGAACAGUCUCUCAGAAUUUGGAGAAUCCAAAAUUUGAAAGAUAAUUAUAUUUAAGUUCCAAUUCUCCACAUUAAGUCUGGGAAGCGCAGAUCAGUUCUUUUAGCUUCAGAACUGCCAAAACAAAUUCCUCAGGCAUCUCUAGUGCAGAACAGUAGGUCACUGCAGUUUAAUUUUAAUACAAAGGACAAUGACAGUGUGGUGUAGCUGUUGGAGUGUUGGAUUAGGAAUGGGAAGACCAGGGUUCAAGUCACUGUGUGAUUUUGGGCCUUUUCAUCUGAACCUACCUCACAGGGUUGUUGUGAGGACAAUAGGAGGGGAAGUAUGUAUACCAUUCAGUGGGUCUUGAUUUUUAGUAGAUGGUAUAGGGUUGUGUGAUAAAUCCCACAUCAUUUAAUGCCACUUUCUCUGUGUGCUCCAUUUGACAUCUGCUGGCUAGGAUUGCAGUGGUUUGCUUUGAAAAUAACACGUUCCCCCGUAUUAUAUAUUGCAUUUUAUCAAUGUUAACUGCCACAUGCGUAACUGAUUAGCUGGGUGGUCAUGUGAAAAAGAGAGUGGUGCUCCUGUACCUUUAUUAGUUGAUUCCAGUAGGUGUUGGUUCUUGUCAUGCUCCUAUUAAAGGUGCAAGAGUCCAUUCCUCCCGCACUGCUCUUGGCUGCCCUAGGUAUAAACACACUGAUCUUGUAUGGCAUCGCAGGUAACAACACAAUUUUCUUUUUUAAAUGGGGCUUACUUCCAGGUAGGUGGGUACAGGAUGCACUGGAAACAAUGGGAGUGUGCUUCUGAGUACACCUGUGUAGGAUUGCAUUGUGAACUAUGAACCAGAAGGGUCCCCAAGCUUCUGCUAUGAACCUUACAGAAGUCACUCAGUCUCACCCUCUGAUCCCUUUUGCAAUGUGGGGAUAGCAUAAGACUUACCUUAGGGCAUCCAUUUCCAACCUUGUGCCCUCCCAGCUGUGUAGGACUACAACUCCCAUUGGCCCCAACCAGGGCAGCUGUUGUCUGGUUGGGAGUGAUGAGAGUUGCAGACCAAAACAGCUGGUUGAAGAAGUCUCACAUACAGGAUGGUUGUAAAGAUUAUAGCAGGCAUCCCCAAACUUGGCCCUCCAGCUGUUUUUGGACUACAAUUCCCAUCAUCCCUGACCACUGGUCCUGUUAGCUAGGGAUGAUGGAAGUUGUAGUCCCAAAACAACUGGAGGGCCGAGUUUGGGGAUGCCUGGAUUAUAGCAGAUGUGAAGCAUUUCCAACACUCUAUAAAUGCUGAAGUAUAAAAUGCUAGAGUUGCAAUCCUGUAUCCACUUAGCUGGAGGCAAUGUGAGUAGAUGUGUAUAGGACUGUGUCAUCAUUGGCCAGAUCUGUGCUGGGUUGAUUUCAAAUCUUGUCAUUUGGAUAUGUUUCUCUUUUCCAACAUGCGUUUGAUGUUUCUGCCAUUUAGAGUCUAAUUUUGACUUGGUUCCCUAUUGGCUAUCAGUUCUGUGGUUUAUUGCUGCUUUGCCCCUUGUUGCAAUGUGUUUUUAUAUUUCAUUGUUGGGGGGUUGUUGUUGUUGCUUUUUACAUUGUUUAUCACUGCCAUUAGCACAAAAACAAAACCCAAUACCUGUCUCUAAUCCAAUUCCUUAUUAUUAUUAUUAUUGUUUAUUAAAGUUCAAUCAUUGUGACAAUAAA